CAACGUCCUAACCUCCACGAGCUCCAGCUGGGCCACCUAAUGCCUGGGGGAGGUCCUGCAGAAGCUCAGUAGCUAAAGCAGAAAAGCCUGGAAGCUCAGACCUGACUCUAAAAAACCCAGUUUCUAACAAAUAGAUAGACUUGGCCAAAAUUUCCUUCAGGUUUUGUCCAUAGGCUGUAGCAGAAAAACCCAAACGAACCCGUUGGCCCGCCCAAUGCCUGCACUCGUGGGGAAAAACAGCACUACAGAAAAUUCCCCCACAGUCAAAAAUCUCAAAUGAAUCCCCUGUCUCUGAGGUCAAUUCUGUGAUAGUUUGUUAACCUGAUUAUUUGGCUCAGCCUGAUGAGAAAUCUGUUGUUACCAUUUGUCAACCCUGGUGGGGCAACCGGGCAGCCAAGAAUCAGUCGGGGAUGGGACAUUUAGAGCAGAUGAAACGAAGAUCUGAGCUCUCAUUGGUCAAGUCUGCUGGCCUUGCUUAAGUUGCCUAGCAACCCUACUGAGACUGGUACCAUCUCACGCCUUUUCCAGGCAAGGACACUGAGGCUGAAGGUGACAAUGAGAGUUAACCUGGGCCACCUCGUCGGCAAUGAGGCAGCCAGGGUGUGAAUUGAAUUCAGACAAUGUACAGAGGUUCAGGACACCUUUAGGAUGAUCAGACACAGCCUGGCCCGGCGCCAUGUAGAACCUUGCUGCUUCUCAAAGUAUAAUCCACGGACCAGCAGUAAAGCCUUACCGGGCUCCCCAUGGCCUUUGCUUUGAGUGCAUCCUGAUCUGGACACUGCGUUCUGUGACCUCAUCUCUCAUCUCCCUCCUGGGCUGCAGCCUGCACUCCACAGCCUUAUC
rnacentral:lncRNA from 1 species